CACUGAGAAGCUUCUAUAGCAUUAGCCUUUUAAGCUAAAGAAGGAGGGAAGCCCCCCCCCUCAAUGA
rnacentral:tRNA from 1 species